UACAGAGGUCUCAAGCGUUGUUCGGAUUCAUUGGGCGUAAAGGGUGUGUAGGUGGCGCGCUAAGUCGGGUGUGAAAUUUCGGAGCUUAACUCCGAAACUGCAUUCGAUACUGGCGUGCUUGAGGACUGGAGAGGAGACUGGAAUUCAUGGUGUAGCAGUGAAAUGCGUAGAGAUCAUGAGGAAGACCAGUGGCGAAGGCGGGUCUCUGGACAGUUCCAUGACACUGAGGCACGAAGGCCCAGGGGAGCAAACGGG
rnacentral:rRNA from 1 species